rnacentral:tRNA from 1 species
GGUGGGAUAUAGCUCAGUGGUAGAGUACAUGCUUAACAUGCAUGAGGUCCUGGGUUCAAUCCCCAGUACCUCCA